UUAGCGUUCAAGUAGUAAAAUGUUAGGUAAAAUGAUAUAAGAUUUUUCUUAACUUUUACUACGCCAAAACUAACUUUUACAUUGAUAUUCUUAACUUUUACGGAGUAUAUUGAUAUUCCGAAUUUUUCACUUAAGUGAAACCCCAAAAGUUAUAAUUAGCCUUUUUGAGUAAAAAAGUAAAAGUUAGCUUUUUUGCAUUAAAAGUUAGCGUUCAUGUACUAAAAAUUAUUUAAAAUGAUAUAAGAUUUUUCUUAACUUUUACUACGCCAGAGCUAACUUUUACAUUAAUAUUCUUAACUUUUACGGAUUAUAUUAAUAUUCAUAAUUUUCACGUAAGUGAAACCCCAAAAGUUAAUAUUAGCCUAUUUUAGUGAAAAUGAAGUAAAAGUUAGUUUUUUUGCAUUAAAAGUUAGCGUUCAAGUAGUAAAGGUUAGGUAAACUGAUAUAAGAUUUUUCUGAACUUUUACUACGCCAAAACUAACUUUUACAUUGAUAUUCUUAACUUUUACGUAGUAUAUUGAUAUUUCGAAUUUUUCACUUAAGUGAAACCCCAAAACUUUUAAUUAGCCUUUUUGAGUAAAAAAAAAAGUAAAAGUUAGCUUUUUUGCAUUAAAAGUUAGCGUUCAUGUAAUCCCCCGUAAUUUUAUACAUUUUGUUUAUAUAUUUUAACGUAUAUUAAUAUAUUUAAAUAUAAUAUGCGGAUUUUAGAAAUGCAAAUGUAAUUAAAAUAUAAUGAUUUUAUUACAUUUUGAAUAUUUUAAUGAUUUAUGAAAUCAAAAUUUAAUUUUGAAUUUUACGUUAAAACGGAAUUCGGAAUUUGAAAUCACGUUCGAUUGAAAUCAGAAAACAAUCCCAACAAUUUUGGAUUCAUCAACCUAAAUCCUACUCCUAGCCCAAUUGGGCAAAGCCCAAACCAAUAAACCAACACAAUACUCCCUCCCCUUUUUCCCUAAUUCACGUGAAACCAGAAAGAAAGAAAAAAAAAAAGCAAACCCUCCUCCCUCCAAUCUCACGCACACAAGCAGCAGCAACUCUCUCUCUCAGCCGUGUCCUCUCCUCCGCCUUGCUCUCCACGGCGCCGUCCCAGCCGCCGACCACCACGAGCACGCUGCACCGCGAACUAGGCCAUCCACCACCGUCCGCCGGUCAAGCCUUGCCGCGAGCCACCAUCUGUCAGCCGGUCAAACUCCUCUCUCCUCUUUAAUUCUUGGCGGAGAAUUCUCUUUAGGCGACUUUUGAAAGUGUUAAAGUGGCCUAUCAGUUUGUUUACACAAGUCUGUAAGGAUCAAUAAGCAUUGUCCAUCUGCAGGUUCGAAGAUGUUGCAUCAUUGGGAUCGAGAAUAGAGAGCUUGUAUUUAGUUUUGAUUUAUUAAGUUGACUUGGGUUUGUUUAUUUGGACUUUAAACUUGUUAAUUGAUCUUAUUUUCGUUGAUUGGUUUUGGGAUUAACUAUGUAAUCGAUUAUUUAUAAACCUAAAGUUAGUUUUAUG